AAAUAAACCUGAUUGAAUGGAUGCUGUUAAGGGUGAAUUUAAGAAGUUGAAAGAUUCUACAGCAGGAAGGAAAGCAGGACUAUCU
rnacentral:sRNA from 1 species